CGGUGACACCCCUGCACCUCUCAAACGCGGGAGACCAGGCUUGGUGACCUUGCUGCCCCCGCACCCUGUGGGGAAUCCAGGGAUCGCGCUGCUCCUCCCUGCCCUGUGCCCCUGCCUCCCCGCCGGCGCUGCCCAGGACCCGCAGCUCCCGCACCUGUUGCUGAUCGGAGCCUGGCCCCGUCCACCUCCACCAUCCCGCCAACUGGCCUGAUUUGAUCGAGCCUCGCCAGAUGCAGCCUAAUGUGACUUCGCAGAGCCUGAUGACCUUGAUGGUAGCUCAGGGCGAGAGUGUCUGGCGAGGCAGAUGCCGGGACACAGGUGCCCUCAUUACAACCUCCCCUUUUGCAGGAGGAUGGGGGGCUCACUCAGGGAGAGGAGGGGCGGCCAUGGGAGGACGACUUUGAGUCCCUCAGUCCAGCCUGCUUCCCACAAGCCAGGGCCAGGCUGGGCAGCGCCCACCAAACUUUCCCUAGGACCCGGCUCCAGGGGGUCUGAGGGUUUCCCUGGCAAGCCACCUCCAGAGCCCUGGGCGCCCCAUCUGUGAAACGGGGAGGAGAGCCCAGCCUUCCACAGAGAUGGACCUCCAGGCGCGGCCACACCCGGGUCACACACACACACACUCUGGUCUCUGACCAGCCCCAUCUCGGCCGAGGGUCCAUCCUGGUGCCCUGAUUGGGGAACACCUGCUGCGUGCAGGGUUGAGGUGGCCGGAGAGGCUGGAGCGAGAGUCCUGGUCACCAGGGGCCUCCGAGGCUGCCUACCCCAGUGCCUGCACCCGGCACCGUCGCUGGGGGCCCAUGAUCAGAUUUGCAGCCGGGCCAGAGGGACACACCCUUCCCCCACCUCGCU
rnacentral:lncRNA from 1 species